UACAGAGGGGGCAAGCGUUGUUCGGAAUCACUGGGCUUAAAGCGUGUGUAGGCGGGAGGCGUAAGUACCUUGUGAAAAUCCCACGGCUCAACCGUGGAACGGCUGGGUAUACUGCGCUUCUUGGGCCAACUAGGGGCAGCCGGAACAAGCGGUGGAGCGGUGAAAUGCGUAGAUAUCGCUUGGAACGCCGAAGGUGAAAACAGGCUGCUGGGGUUGCGCCGACGCUGAGACACGAAAGCCAGGGGAGCAAACGGG
rnacentral:rRNA from 1 species